rnacentral:lncRNA from 1 species
UUUGUUCUUCGUGCAGGUUUCAUAAUGUCUUCUGACAAAAACUCGCAGAAAGACGCUCCUCAGGUCCCUGAAAUCGAGGUUCAGAAUCCUUCUGCUGAACCGGAGUCUGUUCAGGCCGCUCCUGUCGUACCGGAGCCUAGAGCUUCACCUUCCGUGCCUAUUGGAAGUAAGAGAAAGACUCUUUCCCGUCGUACGCGCAAGCCCGUACCUCCUAGUAAGUUACUUAUUUAUUAUUUAUUUCGUAACUUAAUCUUUAUUUGUUUCUUUUUUGUUUGUAGGUGCUCCCCACUCUUCC